UUCUUCCCUAUACCUCCCAUAC
rnacentral:miRNA from 1 species